rnacentral:sRNA from 1 species
UACAAUUGAACGGCUAGCUCAAGGGUGUCUGGCUCAUCCCCCGAUAGGAAGGGGGUGAUGCUCAUGUCAACAUUUCAAGCACUAAUGUUAAUGCUUGCUUUCGGGUCAUUUAUCAUAACCCUGUUGACGUAUAUAGACAAAAAAUAGACUCCCCCUUGAGCUUUGGUAGGUAAAAGGGAAGUCUAUCCUAAAGUAUCCUAUUCGAUUAGCCAGCCCCUUAAGGGCCGAAUUGUACAUUGCCGGGAUGUUGACGCAUCCUGG